rnacentral:sRNA from 1 species
GCCUCAAGAUGGCGGCGGUUCCACGCAGUAGUGAGUUUCAGCUAUUGCUGAAACUCAUAGUGAAAAUCGGACUCAGGAUGUCCGAUUUUUACGGGC